UACGAAGGGGGCUAGCGUUGCUCGGAAUCACUGGGCGUAAAGCGCACGUAGGCGGAUUGCUGAAGUCAGGGGUGAAAUCCUGGAGCUCAACUCCAGACUGCCUUCGAUACUGGAGAGCUCGAGUCCGGGAGAGGUGAGUGGAACUGCGAGUGUAGAGGUGAAAUGCGCAGAUAGUCGGGAGGAACACCAAUGGCGAAGGCAGCUCGCUGGGACGGUACUGACGCUGAGACGCGAAGCGUGGGGAGCAAACAGG
rnacentral:rRNA from 1 species